rnacentral:rRNA from 1 species
GAUGAACGCUAGCUACAGGCUUAACACAUGCAAGUCGAGGGACCGGCGCACGGGUGAGUAACACGUAUCCAACCUGCCCUUUACUCGGGGAUCGCCUUUCGAAAGAAAGAUUAAUACCCGCUAUAAAGGAUGGGGAUGCGUUCCAUUAGGUUGUUGGUGAGGUAACGGCCCACCAAGCCUUCGAUGGAUAGGGGUUCUGAGAGGAAGGGCCCCCACGUUGGAACUGAGACACGGUCCAAACUCGUACGGAAGGCAGCAGUAAGGAAGAUUGGGCAAUGGGCGUUAGCCUGAACCAGCCAAGUGGCGUGAAGGAGGAAGGCUUAUGGGUCGUAAACUUCUUUUAUAUAAGAAUAUGUAUUAUAUGAAUAAGGAUCGGCUAACUCCGUGCCAGCCGCCGCGGUAAUUC